CUUACCGUGAGGGCAGCUCAUGACUAUCAAACGACAUCCCAUCAUGGCGUGCGAGUCACCUAAGCAUUGGCCAGGCACGGUGCCUGCUUUACUUAUAUAGAGCCAGCCGGCAGCCAGCAUACCGAUGGUCAUCUCAUGACUUUUAAAUGACAUCCCAUCGAGGCGGGAGAGUCACCUAAGCACUGGCCAGGCACGGUACCUGCUUUACUUAUAUAGAGCCAGCCGGCAGCCAGCUUACCGUGAGGUCACCCCAUGACUUUUAAAUGACAUCCCAUCGUGGCGGGAGAGUCACCUAAGCACUGGCCAGGCACGGUGCUUGCUUUACUUAUAUAGAGCCAGCCGGCUUACCGUGAGGUCACCCCAUGACUUUUAAAUGACAUCCCAUCGUGGCGGGAGAGUCACCUAAGCACUGGCCAGGCACGGUGCUUGCUUUACUUAUAUAGAGCCAGCCGGCAGCCAGCUUACCGUGAGGUCACCCCAUGACUUUUAAAUAACAACACAUCGUGGCGCCAAAGAUAUUGUUUAGAUCGGGUCACUAUAGCAUAUAGCUGUCAUACAAACUAACCGAUCGAAAUCAAGCGCAUGUAAGGAGUCUUUUGCAUAUGUGAAGGGUAUUACAGCUUCGGUGCAACCGAAGUUAAUGUUUUUUAUUGUUUUUAAUUAAAUUUUCUUAGUGCUUAUGUAUUUAUUGAUAAUGGUUUAUAUAACGACAUACAUACAUACAGACAUAUUUACACAAUAUAUAUGCACAUAACCAAACAUUAAUAGUGAAAAACUAAAAAAAAACAACAAGCAAAACAAAAAUUAAUAUUACACAAAAAUACUGAAACAAGUCAAAAAGCCGGGAAGCUGACCACUUUAAUAUCGAGCUGCAAUUAAGUAGAAUAAUAUUCAUAUAUAUUUAUAUAAAUGUCUUAAUACAUGCAUAUAUACAUAUACAUACAUAUACAGUAUUUCCAACUGUAGUAGCCAACGUUGAAACAUAUAAAUGUAUUAAUACACAUAAGUACAUAUGUGCACGGAAGCAGAUUUGCCAAAUACAUGUAUGUAUAUGUACGCAUACAAUUAUAUUAUAUAAUAUAUACUCAUACAUAUACAAUGUAUAAGUUCAUAUACCGCAGGUAUAUUUUUACUAAGGAUUAUGCCGGGAAUAAAAAUAAUUUUUAAUUCAUUCUUCAACCGCCUAUAUAUUGUACUUAUUAGUAUUUGUAUAUAUUUUAAGUAUGUAUGUAUGUGUAAUGUAUACUUGACAAAACAGCAACGUUUGCUUAUGCAAAAUGUGCUAAGAAACCAACAUUGUAAAUUAAUAAUAUGAUUUUUUUAUUAUUGUAUGUAUGUAUGUAUGUGCGCUCGUUUUUUUUACCGCUGUUAUAAUGUAAAAAUAUUUAGUUUGUCGAAGAGAAAAAACAUACAUACAUACGAGUACAUGCUGUAUGUACUCACUUGGCAUAUUGAGAUAACGUACACAUUUUUAGGCAUUUAUGCAUUUUCGGACACAUACAUAUAAACAAAAAAAUAAAAUAAAAAAACAUACCUACAUACAUUCAUCUCUAUGCAUAUGAUGUAUGAAUUGUAUGCUUAAACGAAAACGAAAUAUGGGAAUCCAGUAACUUUGGUGAUCUUUUGAGCGUCGAAACACGACACAAUCUUAAAAUAAAAAUAAAAGACAAAAACAAUACUUCUUUAUAAAUGUAAUUUGUAACGCAUAAGUAAUCAACACCACCACAACAACUAUAUAAUGUUAAAGGUAAAAAAAAUAAAUAACCAUAAAUAAAUCUUAAAA